rnacentral:rRNA from 1 species
UACGUAGGUUGCAAGCGUUACUCGGAUUCACUAGGCGUAAAGAGCGCGCAGGCGGUCGUUCAAGUCGAGUGUGAAAGCCCCCGGCUCAACUGGGGAGGGUCACUCGAUACUGAUCGACUCGAAGGCAGGAGAGGGUAGUGGAAUUCCCGGUGUAGUGGUGAAAUGCGUAGAUAUCGGGAGGAACACCAGUGGCGAAGGCGACUACCUGGCCUGUUCUUGACGCUGAGGCGCGAAAGCUAGGGGAGCAAACGGG